rnacentral:siRNA from 1 species
UGGUAUAUCUAACGUCUCAAA